UACGAAGGGGGCUAGCGUUGCUCGGAAUCACUGGGCGUAAAGCGUUUGUAGGCGGUUUGUUAAGUCAGGGGUGAAAUCCCGGAGCUCAACUCCGGAACUGCCUUUGAUACUGGCGAUCUUGAGUCCGGGAGAGGUGAGUGGAACUGCGAGUGUAGAGGUGAAAUUCGUAGAUAUUCGCAAGAACACCAGUGGCGAAGGCGGCUCACUGGCCCGGUACUGACGCUGAGGUGCGAAAGCGUGGGGAGCAAACAGG
rnacentral:rRNA from 1 species